GACAGAGGAUGCAAGCGUUAUCCGGAAUGAUUGGGCGUAAAGCGUCUGUAGGUGGCUUUUUAAGUCCGCCGUCAAAUCCCAGGGCCUCAACCCUGGACAGGGCGGUGGAAACUACCAAGCUGGAGUACGGGUAGGGGCAGAGGGAAUUUCCGGUGGAGCGGUGAAAUGCGUAGAGAUCGGAAAGAACACCAACGGCGAAAGCACUCUGCUGGCCGACACUGACACUGAGAGACGAAAGCUAGGGAGCGAAUGG
rnacentral:rRNA from 1 species